GAGACACCCUUCUGGGGCAAGACUUGCUUCAGUGGGGCUUUGGUGCUCACUGAGUCUGCCCCGAGUGUGUCCCU
rfam:Myotis davidii contig323725, whole genome shotgun sequence.